rnacentral:rRNA from 1 species
GAUGAACGCUGGCGGCGUGCUUAACACAUGCAAGUCGAACGGGAAACCUUUUAUUGAAGCCUCGGCCGAUUUAGCUGGUUUCUAGUGGCGGACGGGUGAGUAACGCGUGGGUAACCUGCGCUAUUCAGGGGGAUAACAACCAGAAAUGGUUGCUAAUACCGUAUAAGCGCACAGGGCCGCAUGGUCCGGCGUGAAAAACUCCGGUGGUAUAGGACGGAUGCGCGUUGGAUCAGCCAGUUGGCAGGGUAACGGCCUACUAAAGCGACGUUCCAUAGCCGGGAUGAGAGAGAGAAUGGCCACAUUGAGACUGAGACACAGCGCGGACUCCUACGGGAGGCAGCAGUGGGGAAUAUUGCACAAUGGGGGAAACGCAGAUGCAGCGACGCCGCGUGAAGGAUGAAGUAGCUCAGUAUGUAAACCUCUAUCAGCAGGGAAGAUAGUGACGGUACCUGACGAAGAAGCCCCGGCUAACUACGUG